GAUGAAGAACGUAGCGAAAUGCGAUAAGUAAUGUGAAUUGCAGAAUUCAGUGAAUCAUCGAAUCUUUGAACGCACCUUGCACUCCUUGGUAUUCCGAGGAGUACGCCUGUUCGAGUGUUAUGAAGCUCUCAAAACGCAAUUGGCUUAAAACCUGAUUGUUGUUUUGGAUUUGAACUUUGCCGUGUUAUAACGGCUGGUUUUAAAAGUAUUAGCUGGUACUAGAACGAAUUGGUCCUACUCAACGUGAUAAUUAUCUGAUCGUUGAGGACAUUCCUUUCACGAGGAAUGGCCAUAGUAAAUUCAAUGGACUGCUUCUAAUCUGGCUUUAAUUCUUUAUUGGAUUAACCACUUUUCAAAUCUGACCUCGAAUCAGGUGGGACUACCCGCUGAACUUAAGCAUAUCAAUAAGCGGAGGA
rnacentral:misc_RNA from 1 species